GCGCUUCCGCCGCUCCCGCCCGCCCCGCUGCCAGUGCCCGGCGCUGCCCGUGGCAAGGCGGCCCGGGACGGGCGUGUCGACGCUUCCCCACGGGCGAGACAUGGCUGCUGAGGAGUCCCGCUGCGUGCUGGGUUACGCCACUUCCGACCUGAGGUUUUCCCCUUGCCUGGGCUCCUGCUCCAUGGUUGCUGAUAUCUGAAAUCUUCCUACUUAAAGCGAGAAGCAUACCGAGUGCUGCUUGUGUGUUAACGAACUGGGUUAUGGCCUGUGUAGGAACCAAAGACUUUCACGGUUUUAUGGUAAGCAGCAUGAAUUACUCCUAUUUCUUCAGUUCCUGCGUUCUUUUCACCUGGUGUAGUAACUGUAAUGGCCAUGUGAGCUAUCAAUGUUCAUUGUAUCUUUUUUUCUAAGACAUAAAAUAAAAUCUAUUUUAUAAAUAAAUAAAUAAAUAAAAAUUU